AGGACGAACGCUGGCGGCGUGCCUAACACAUGCAAGUCGAACGGGGUCCAUCCGGUGGCAACACUGGAGAAGACUCAGUGGCGAACGGGUGCGGAACACGUGAGCAACCUGCCCCGAAGAUCGGGAUAACGGCGGGAAACUGCCGCUAAUACCGAAUGCCCCCACGAGCCGCAUGGUUUGUGAGGAAAGGAUUCUGCUUCGGGAGGGGCGUCGCGGCCUAUCAGCUUGUUGGUGGGGUAACGGCCUACCAAGGCGACGACGGGUAGCUGGCCUGAGAGGACGAUCAGCCACACUGGGACUGAGACACGGCCCAGACUCCUACGGGAGGCAGC
rnacentral:rRNA from 1 species